rnacentral:rRNA from 1 species
AGAACGAACGCUGGCGGCAUGCCUAAUACAUGCAAGUCGAACGAAGGCUUCGGCCUUAGUGGCGCACGGGUGCGUAACGCGUGGGAAUCUGCCCCUUGGUUCGGAAUAACAGUUGGAAACGACUGCUAAUACCGGAUGAUGACGAAAGUCCAAAGAUUUAUCGCCAAGGGAUGAGCCCGCGUAGGAUUAGCUAGUUGGUGAGGUAAAGGCUCACCUAGGCGACGAUCCUUAGCUGGUCUGAGAGGAUGAUCAGCCACACUGGGACUGAGGCACGGCCCAGACUCCUACGGGAGGCAGCAGUAGGGAAUAUUGACAAUGGGCGAAAGCUAGAU